UGCCCCCGGACUUAAGGGUUCAAAUUGCAACACAACAGUUCGUAGCUGUGUGAAUUGACCUCUGUGCACUUCAGAUGCUUCAAAAGGAAAAUAGACAAGACCUUGCAUCUCUCCCAUGCUGUCUUCAGAACCCAAACACUAUGGAGUCCAGGAGCGUUCUGUAUCUCACCAAAGCUUAUUUACAAGUGAAUAAUCG
rnacentral:lncRNA from 1 species